GUAUGAUCCAAUUGCAGUGGUAUCAACCUAAGACAGGAGGCUGACGCCUAAAGGUCAGUUUUCCGAUGAUGGGUAAGAACCAUAUGUUGAAUUGGACAACCUACCAGGCACGGUCCUUAAGCCACAUUGCUUGUUGUUUAAUUAAUCAAAAGGGGGGAGAUGCUGGGAGCCAUUAGCCAAGUAGGUAUGACAAUUUCCUUGCCAGCGUACCCCAUGUUGCUGACAUUUUGCAGUGACAUUGCAUGUGGGUGACCUUGCUCGGGGACCAAGGCAGAUUAGGGUGUUCCCGCUUUAAGAUAAUCGGGUUUAGGGCGUUCCCAGUUUAGGUUCCAGGUUUAAGGUUUAAGAUUAUUCCUGCUGGGAAUAGGGCGUAUCCUGCUCCCUGAGUUCCCCUUGAGUUCUCACGGGAUUCAGAGUAUAUUUUGGGAGACAGAAGCCCAGUGGAGGUGGAUUUGGGCAGAGAACGUGGAUUUCCCCAGAACGUGAUUGUAGACGGCUGGUGUGAGUUCGGGAAUAAAGAGUUGCUGUUUGAAUCUACAAGCUGUGUGGUGGCUCGUGAUUGUGUGCCCAGCCAGACUGCGGCAUUUGUGCCCAGCCAGAC
rnacentral:lncRNA from 1 species